ACAAAUCAGCUAUCUGGCAAAUCUUUUCGAAAAUAUUCAGAGAUCCGAUAGUCCCAAACCACAUCCAACCAUCCAAUAUGAAGACAACGAGGUAUUUACAGAUUUUCGUAUGAACGACGAGGCUGAGCACCUUGAGGGAAUUUUUUAUCCCAGUUCUGUAGAUACUUUUGCUUUUGCGUGUGAUGAGAGUGGGAUGAAGAUGAUGGUAGAUGCUGAAUUUGACGAAGAAAAUCCUAUCCAUAUC
rnacentral:lncRNA from 1 species